rnacentral:rRNA from 1 species
AGCAGCCGCGGUAAUUCCAGCUCCAAUAGCGUAUAUUAAAGUUGUUGCAGUUAAAAAGCUCGUAGUUGAAUUUCGGGAUCAGUACGCUGGUCGUGCCUCCGGUAUGAACUGGUGUCACUGGUUCCUCCCUUCUGAAGAACCAUCAUGCCAUUCACUUGGUGUGGUGGGGAAUCAGGACUGUUACUUUGAAAAAAUUAGAGUGUUUAAAGCAGGCUCACGCUUGAAUACAUUAGCAUGGAAUAAUGAAAUAGGACGUUGAUCCUAUUUUGUUGGUUUCUAGGAUUGACGUAAUGAUUAAUAGGGAUAGUUGGGGGCAUUAGUAUUCAAUUGUCAGAGGUGAAAUUCUUGGAUUUAUUGAAGACUAACUACUGCGAAGGCAUUUGCCAAGGAUGUUUUCAUUAAUCAAGAACGAAAGUUAGGGGAUCGAAGACGAUCAGAUACCGUCGUAGU